GAGUGCCCUAGUGGUAGAGCAUCUGCUUGGCAUGCAUAAAGUCCCAGGUUCAAUCCCCAGCAUGAAUCA
rnacentral:tRNA from 1 species